AAUAAUUGCUUGUAGUAUGAAAAUGACAAAUUUUGGCCAAUCCCUUAUUCAUAAGUUGCAAUUGCAGCCAAACAAUUAAAAGCCCAUUUAAUCAUAUGUAAAAUGAGUUUCUGGUAUAUCUAUUACGAAAACAUACAUCAACCAAAGGAUGGGCCUAUUUAUAAUAGGCCACCAAAUAUAUUAGUAUAUGGACUCAAUUUUUCCUUUUCUGAGUUGAAGUUACAGGUAAUUAAAGGGUUUUAAACGACUUAGAUAACUAAUAAUUGUAGGCUAAAAUUCGGUAUUUUCAA
rnacentral:misc_RNA from 1 species